CCGGCGAUAGCUCAGUUGGUAGGGCGGCAGACUGUAGAGGAUUGCGGUGAUCUGUUGGUCCCUGGUUCGAUUCCGGGUCGCCGGA
rfam:Hammondia hammondi strain H.H.34 contig00434, whole genome shotgun sequence.